UCCCUCAUCACUGCAACCUUUCACUGCAUCAUAAUGCUCCUAUCAUUUAGUAGCCAUUUCAACAGCCACAACAUCAUGAAAUUUCUUUCUCUUCAAAAAUCUCAAUGACCAUGAAUCCCAUGAUAUGAUCUUUUUGCUUAAUAUCCUUAAGCCUUUUUAUUCUUUCUCCUAGUCCUGAUCACAAAAUUUGGAGAUUUGAUGCUUUUAGUAUGUACAUUUUCGAGUCUCUUUUUGCAACUAUCACCCAUAAAUCUAAUUGUAUAAUGAGACUUUUACUAGGGAUUUUGGGAAGUUAAAGUUCCCACAAAAGUUAGGAAUUUGCCUGGACUACUGUUUUAACUAAGCUCAAAUUAGUAAUUUUUUACGAGAUUGUAGACCUAACAGUGUCAUGCUCUUUUUCCAUAUGUGUUUGUCAUGUGCUUUAGGGAGGCUGAAUCCCACGCCAUCUUUUUUCUCAUUUUGAUGUAGCUUGGAGGCUAUGGUUUAGAAUUUUUGAUAUUUUAAUGUUUUAUGGGUCGUUCCCCCUCACCUUGAAUAUUUAUCCUAUGUUCCUUAAGGGAGCUAGCCUAAGAAGGAAGGUUGGGUGCUUCAAAGAGGAGAUCUGUUUGAUUUGGUGGUGAUUGUUGUUAGAUAUAAUGCUAACUCUUUGAGGAUCGUGAUUAUCUUCUAUCUGUUUUUUUUGGGGACACAUGUU
rnacentral:lncRNA from 1 species